rnacentral:rRNA from 1 species
GCGGCACAGGAUAGCUCUGCGGCUUAUCAGGUUGUAGGGAGGGUAACGGCCUCCCUAGCCUACGACGGGUAUGGGUGUUGGGAGACAUCGCCCAGAGAUGGAUUCUGAGACACGGAUCCAGGUCCUACGGGACGCAGCAGGCGCGAAAACUGCACAAUGUGGGCAACCACGAUGCGGGAAACCCAAGUGCCAGCACUAAGUGUUGGCUGUCCUCAAGUGUUCGUAACUUGGAAGAAAGUGCUGGGUAAGACGGGUGCCGGCCGCCGCGGUAAUACCCGCAGCACAAGUGGUGGUCAUUAUUAUUGGGCCUAAAGCGUCCGUAGCUGGCUUGUUAGAUGCCUGGGUAAAUCGAUGCGCUCAACGCAUCGAAUUCCGGGUAGACCGGCAAGCUCGAGACCGGGAGAGGUGUAGGCUACUCGAGGGGUAGGGGUAAAAUCCUGUAAUCCUUCGGGGAGGACCAGUGGCGAAGGCGCUACACUAGAACGGCUCUGACAGUGAGGGACGAAGCCCUGGGGCGCAAACCGGAUUAGAUACCCGGGUAGUCCAGGGUGUAAACGCUGCAGACUUGGUGUCGGGGAUCCUACGAGGGUUCCCGGUGCCGGAGAGAAGUUGUUGAGUCUGCCGCCUGGGGAGUACGGUCGCAAGACUGAAACUUAAAGGAAUU